rnacentral:tRNA from 1 species
AUUUGAAUAGUUUAAUUAAAAUGUUGAUUUGUGGAAUCAGAGCUAUACGUAGUAUUUCAGAUA